GUCAACCUACGGGGGGCAGCAGUGAGGAAUAUUGGUCAAUGGGCGGUAGCCUGAACCAGCCAAGUAGCGUGAAGGAUGAAGGUUCUAUGGAUUGUAAACUUCUUUUAUAAAGGAAUAAAGUGAGGCACGUGUGCCUUUUUGUAUGUACUUUAUGAAUAAGGAUCGGCUAACUCCGUGCCAGCAGCCGCGGUAAUACGGGGGCUCCGAGCGUUAUCCGGAUUUAUUGGGUUUAUAGGGAGCGUAGAUGGGUUGGUAAGUCAGUUGUGAAAGUUUGCG
rnacentral:rRNA from 1 species